rnacentral:rRNA from 1 species
UACGUAGGGUCCGAGCGUUGUCCGGAAUUACUGGGCGUAAAGAGCUCGUAGGUGGUUUGUCGCGUUGUUCGUGAAAACUCACAGCUCAACUGUGGGCGUGCGGGCGAUACGGGCAGACUGGAGUACUGCAGGGGAGACUGGAAUUCCUGGUGUAGCGGUGGAAUGCGCCAGAUAUCAGGAGGAACACCGGUGGCGAAGGCGGGUCUCUGGGGCAGUAACUGACGCUGAGGAGCGAAAGCGUGGGGAGCGAACAGG